ensembl:lncRNA
GUUCUGUGCUUUGGCAAGUUGUCUCCUUGGAUAUUGGUAACCAGCAACUGCAGAUGGGCUGGAACAGCUGAACAGAGAAAGUCUGAAGUGAUUUUUACAUGAAAAUGGCUUGUCAAGCUGCACCUGGAACAAGAAUCUGAUCUUGAAAUCUGCACUAUAGAAGAUCUGCAGCUCUGUAGAGCAAAAAUAGACAAUAGUUCUGUUACUUCAGAAUCAAGCAGCAUCUAUCCAAGUACUGUUUUACCAUUUUGGUUGGUAAAGGUAUGACAUUUGAUGGUUUUAGAAUUUUCAUUAAUGAGUUUCUAACUGAGAACUAUUUUUCCAAGUGAAGAACAAUGGAGGCAUGGAAAGGAACCUGUAAAAAAUUAACAGGAAUAAGGUGUUUUCUCUAAAAACUACUUUAAGCAUUUUGGGUGUAUGCUCAAAGUCAUCAGUAGAAACGUACAGAUGGACCAAAUCCAUGUCUCACUGAUGGUACUUCCCAUUACUCUACUAAAAUUUUGUGUUGCCACUGCCUACUAUCAGGACAAUUUUAUCAAUAUUUACUUGAUAGAAAUGUACACCAGAUAACUUUUCAAGGCAGUCAGAGACCUCUUUUCCCUUCUGUUCAGCCACUUAGCCCAGCUGCUGUUUUAGCAAUUCUUCCUAGACAGGUUUUGGCAAGACAAAAGCAGUGGUGAGUGCACUACAAAGAACAAAAACAGCAAAUGUACAACAUUACACCGGAAGAGCUGCAGAACUAGUGAAAGUGCUGGUCUGAAAAGUCUUUGCAAUUACAAAACUUUGUCCACUCGAGGGAGGACCAUGAGAGGGAUAUGAUGUUACAGAAAUAGAAAUCAUCAUUUUUUUUUUUCUGGACAGAAGAGUUAAAUGUUCUUAUGUGCUUGUUUGCUUACUUGUUUUAAUGUUGCAAGGUAACCUGUAAAGUUUUGAAGACACUGAGUUCCAUGACAAUUAGAACAGUGAAUCUAAUUAAAAAAAAAAAAAAAAAAGCUGUUCUUUGCUACAGAACUUUUCACUGUUUGUGAUUUCCAUGAUUUCUAAGAUGGAAUUUCUGUUAUGAAUUUGUUUUUGCUGUGAAUUAUUUUCUACUUAUCUUUUUUGCAGUAAAUACAGUGUAUUUAAUAAUGAAUGCAGUGAUUGCUAUUGUAUUUAUCUUAAUGUGCAAUAAAAUGCAUUGUACAGUAGGGGUUCUAUCCAUGAAGAACAGCAUGUAUUUAAAUUUACAUUUCAUAUUUUAUGAGGUGAAAAGAUUAUUACUAUAGAAUGGAAACACUAUCUAUUGCUGCUUUAUCACUCCAUUUCAACAUUACAUGCUCCCAGUAGUCUAAAGGGAAUGCUUAAAUCCAGUACAUUCCCAUCACUUCCAGUGCAUAGAAGCAUCAGUGUCAGAGCAUAGGUAACAUCACAUGCAGGCAGCUCUUAUGCUAGAAUCUACUGGAGUGCAGUGGUGGAGAAAAAUUGCUCAUAGUAGGUCAGGAAUCAUCUCUAGACAUUUGGACAUUAUUUCUGGGUAGAAAACAACACAUUUUUCUGGAGCAUCUGUAUGUGUAAUAUACGUCACUCCUCCUGGCUUUGUACUCUUUGUGGAAAUAGGAGGUAUCCUGAAAGUUCACUUUGCCUCAGGAAUGUAGGUGAUGCCGGGGAUUAAACACAAGAUUUUAUCACAAAAACAAACAAACAAACAAACAAACAAAUCAUAUUCCAUGAGCAAGUUGCAUCUUUUAUUAGACACAGAUGUUAAUUUUCCAGGAGGCAAUACUACCAAUACUAACACUGAGAUUAAAUCCCUACUUAUAUUCAUUCCCUUCUACGCCUUCUACACCGUACCAGUUAUUGGCAUUCAUCAGCAGUCUGGCUUACUGAAGGAGAAUAUUAAGCUCGUACAGCUAAUGCUUCAGCUUAGGCUCUUGUCAUCUCAAAAAGCAAUUUUGUUCUCCCCAAAAUGUUUAAACAAGGAAACUUGAGAAGUUUAAGCAGAAGGUAUUUGUGGUAGCCGCUGGGCCUAAGUUGAUAGGACCCUGCCUACAGGUGCCUAGCAACAUACCCUGGUUUCUGCUAGUGCUCUCAUGGAGCUUGUCAUCAGUUUAAUUGCACCCUCAAAGCAAAGUAGCAUUGUUUUCUUAUAUCCUAAGGCUCAGGAUUCAAGCUUUUCCCAACAGCUACAGGUAAUUAACUUGUCAGCAGUGAAGUGAAUUCUACCAUGUAUACAUAGUUAUUUUGAAUGUUUGGAAGAACAUUAAGUAGAUUAGAGUUUUUUCUAAUUCCAGUUCAUUAGGUUUAUGAAGAUUAUAUGACAAACAGAUGUUAGAUUCGUGGUCCAUGUCCACCAGGUAGCAACACCUAGGUUGGCAUGUUGCUGUUGUGAUGUAAAACAAAUGGAGAGCUUCUGGGUAGUGAAGGUCCAUAUAAUUAUACACAUCUGCAGAAAUCACAGCAUGGUACAUGGUGUUACGAAUUUGAGUAGAAAGUACUUGUUCUUCAAAAAAAUUAUAUUUAGGAAGAGAAACUUGCAAACUAUAAAAUGUUUUACUUACCAUUUCUUAUUCAUGGAAUAAAUGAAUGUGUUGCAAGAAUGCUUCUCUGUGGAAUGAUCAAGUUCUUCAAUGUAAACAAUGCUAACCUAAACACAUGAAAGGGUGUAGCAUAAUUCUGUGGAUAUUCUAGUACAGUGUUGGCAUGUAGCAUAUGAACAGCAUGAUACAAUCUUGUUGUGAACAUGAGUUUGGGAUAGCUGUAAAAAGGUGCAAAUGGAUAAGUUGCUGUGGACCAAGCAACAGAUCAUUUAACCACAUGUAAUCAUCUAAUGCCAUGGUUUAUAAAAAAUUGGCCCGUUCAUUUUUCUCUCUCAACCUACUCAGUGUGUUCCAGAAGGUGCAAACUGCAUCUACUUGUCCUUUACAAACAGCAUGUCAAAUAAGGAGGGCUCAGUGUUUGGAGCUUGAGGUUAGUGUUUCCACCAUGAAUCUUUUCUCAUGGAUAGAGCAGAGGUCUUUCUAUGUGAGAUGACAUUGGGAAUGUGCUGAAUACAUACCUCUACCAACAAUUUUAAGUGCCUUUCCUUAGAGAUGCUUUGUUUUUGAACUCUUCUGGUGACUAAUCAUCCCUACAACAGAGUAGCUGUGUGUUGGUGUGGCAGGAAGCUGCAGCACCCAUCUCUGGCUAUUUCUGUGAUAAGCCUGCUUGUCUGCAGACAUCACCCUGAACUGAUUUUGGACAAUCCUGUACUUUUGUAUUACUACAACUGACUGGAAGGUUGGUGUCUGCCAACAUGCACCACAACAAUUUUUCUCUCAGUGAAGAAGUAGCAUGCUUUGUCUGAGGGCAUACUCAUUAACUGUAUCUGCAAUAAAAAGUUCAUAUGUGGGACUGA